CAGAAACUUAAAUGAAUUGACGGGGGCCCGCACAAGCGGUGGAGUAUGUGGUUUAAUUCGAUGCAACGCGAAGAACCUUACCUGGUCUUGACAUCCCGGAGACCCUUAGGAAACUAGGGGGUGCUUCCAUCUGGAAGAAUCUGGAGACAGGUGCUGCAUGGCUGUCGUCAGCUCGUGUCGUGAGAUGUUGGGUUAAGUCCCGCAACGAGCGCAACCCUUGCCUUUAGUUGCCAGCAGUUCGGCUGGGCACUCUAAAGGGACUGCCGGUGUUAAACUGGAGGAAGGUGGGGAUGACGUCAAAUCAUCAUGCCCCUUAUGACCUGGGCUACAAACGUGAUACAAUGGCUGGAACAAAGGGAUGCGAAGCAGUGAUGUGGAGCGAAACCCAUAAAAACAGUCUCAGUUCGGAUUGAAGUCUGCAACUCGACUUCAUGAAGUCGGAAUCGCUAGUAAUCGCGGAUCAGAACGCCGCGGUGAAUACGUUCUCGGGGUUU
rnacentral:rRNA from 1 species